rnacentral:lncRNA from 12 species
AUGUUCUUCUCUUCUCUGUCUAAAUACAGGAAACUCAACUCCACAGGAAAGAGGUGGAUUCUUGGCAUGCAUCAGAGAGUUUCUCCAGACAACGUCACUCUCUCUAGGCUCACCUACUGUGUCAUGGCCGGGACAUCUGGAAAGUUGACCUUUUGGAAGGGAAAUAUGAGGUUGGUGGGAUGAUAAGACUGAUAAGAUUGCAGCCAAGUCCAAUCUCUCAUGAAGUGAGACGUUACAUGAUGUUCUGCUGUCAGGCUCGGACACUGGCUAGUACUUUCUGGAUCCCUAGUUUGAGAGUUUUUUUAAUCAUAUCUGCCAAUGUGCAGAGGUGACUGCGUGGAAGUUAAAAAGAAGGGAAGUGUGUCUGCAGGACUGCCCAAAAUGACUCAUAUUCAGAGGGCAAGGAAUGGAAAGACGUGAGAGACAAGCAGAGGAUUUGUAAAUAUUUCAAGUUGUAAAUCAUAUGAUUCAUAAUAAUUUGUUUGUGACUCAUAUUUCCCAACUAUUAUGUAGUCAGCUAUCAUAAUAGAUAUAAAGUGCAACAUUCAACUUUUGAACAGCUUCCUGUCAGAAUGACUCCACCUACCAUGGCCUCUUAUCAGCAGAUCUGGGAUCAUUUUCCCUUUCCACUAUUGAAAUCAUGUCAGAACAGACUCUACAUCACCUCCUCUGGGACCCUUUGUAUUAGUUUUUUAGUGGGGGUAUGACGCUAGGAAUGAUAUAGAUAAGCUGAGAACUUUAUUCUGUUUUGAACCUCUCACUCAUUGCGGUCAUCAUUAAAUGCUCUUGAAUCAGCUGUCUAAUAGCCUAAGGCCUCUGGAGAAUAUUUAGCUGGAUCUUUUUGAAAACGCUGAUGGCCAUACAAGGUGGUGGCUUGGUUGGUUUAGUGUAAACAGUUAGAUGUUAGUGUGUUUCCUUGAUGAAGGACGAUGAGCUGAUUCACGUAAGAAUAGAUGCCUCACAUCCUGUAGUCACAAACGAAGAUCUGUUUGCAUGAGACUUUUCAUAUAAAGGUUAUGUUUAGCAAUAAAAAUAUACUAUGGUGAUCCACAUAAAAGUGGAUUACACACGCACAGCAUGCAGUGAGUUUACAGUAAUUUAAAAAUAAACACUCACAAAAUUGAACAUGUAAACAGUCGUACAACAUAAAAACCUUUUUUAUAGUCUCUCAAUGUUUACAUGGUAAAGAAGAAUGCAAUAUCUAAUACAAAAACAGUUCUCUCACCUAAGCAAAUCAUCUGAAGAGGGUUUUACUGCUUUAAAAACUGUUCUUGUUCUUGCUUAGUUUACAUUAGCUGCUAAUGGAACCCCUGUUACACAGAUAGGGCUCUGUUGGCCCAAAUGUACAGAGGAAGCCUGUCUCUUGUUUUUUGUUAAAGGCUUGUCCUGUUACAAAUUUCCAUACAAGGAAGGAAUUAAUGAAAAAAUGAAAAAUACCCCAUGAUUUACUCACCCUCAAGCCAUCCUAGGUGUAUAUGACUUUCUUCUUUUCUCUUUCUGAUUCUGAUUCUUUCGGACGAAUACAAUUGUAAUUAUAUAAAAAAAUGUCCUGGCUCUUCCAAGCUUUACAAUGGCAGUAAAUGGGGGUAAAGAUUUUGAAGCCCAAAAAACUGCAACCAUCCAUCAUAAAAAGUACUCCACACAACUCUGGAGGGUUAAUAAAGGCCUUCUGACACGUUUGUGUAAGAAUUAAAAGAAUAAAAAUUUUAUAAACCGAAAUCUCUAGCUUCCUCUAUAUGUUGUAUGUUCGUUCAUGUGAGAGUGGCAUUCCAGCGGAUGAUGGCGUAGCGACAUAGGUGUA